rnacentral:rRNA from 1 species
GUGGGUUGUACCAGGAGUAGGUAGAAUAACCGUAAGGGGUUCGCUUACCACGGUAUGAUUCAUGACUGGGGUGAAGUCGUAACAAGGUAGCCGUAGGUGAACCUGCAGAAGGAUCA